rnacentral:rRNA from 1 species
GAUUUCUGGUUUAAUAUGCUUGGCCCGCUACGAAAGUAGUGAGUGCCGAGUCGUGUUUACCAUCCUUCUAGUGCUCUCGUGUCUACUCUUCACUGAGCCGGACCGAGUGUCUAGAUCUUUUACUUUGAAAAAAUUAGAGUGUUUAAAGCAGGCUUUUGCUAUGAAUACAUUAGCAUGGAAUAAUAAUUUAGGACUUCGGUUCUAUUUUGUUGGUUUCUAGGACUGAAGUAAUGAUUGAUAGGGAUAGUUGGGGGUGCUAGUAUUCAGUGGCCAGAGGUGAAAUUCUCGGAUUCACUGAAGACUAACUUAUGCGAAAGCAUU